rnacentral:rRNA from 1 species
UGGGGAAUAUUGCGCAAUGGGCGAAAGCCUGACGCAGCGACGCCGCGUGGGGGAUGAAGGCCUUCGGGUUGUAAACCCCUUUCAGCAGGGACGAAGCGAAAGUGACGGUACCUGCAGAAGAAGCGCCGGCUAACUACGUGCCAGCAGCCGCGGUAACACGUAGGGCGCAAGCGUUGUCCGGAAUUAUUGGGCGUAAAGAGCUCGUAGGCGGUCUGUUGCGUCCGCUGUGAAAACCUAGGGCUUAACCCUGGGCUUGCAGUGGAUACGGGCAGACUAGAGGUAGGUAGGGGAGAAUGGAAUUCCCGGUGUAGCGGUGAAAUGCGCAGAUAUCGGGAGGAACACCGGUGGCGAAGGCGGUUCUCUGGGCCUUACCUGACGCUGAGGAGCGAAAGCGUGGGGAGCGAACAGG